GACGAACGCUGGCGGCGUGCUUAACACAUGCAAGUCGAACGGAAAGGCCCUGCUUUUGUGGGGUGCUCGAGUGGCGAACGGGUGAGUAACACGUGAGUAACCUGCCCUUUACUUUGGGAUAACUUCAGGAAACUGGGGCUAAUACCGGAUAGGAGCUCCUGCUGCAUGGUGGGGGUUGGAAAGUUUCGGCGGUUGGGGAUGGACUCGCGGCUUAUCAGCUUGUUGGUGGGGUAGUGGCUUACCAAGGCUUUGAAGGGUAGCCGGCCUGAGAGGGUGACCGGCCACAUUGGGACUGAGGUACGGCCCAGACUCCUACGGGGGGCAGCAGUGGGGAAUAUUGCACAGUGGGCGGAAGCCUGAUGAAGCAACGCCGCGUGCGGGAUGACGGCCUUCGGGUUGUAAACCGCUUUCGCCUGUGACGAAGCGUGAGUGACGGUAAUGGGUAAAGAAGCACCGGCUAACUACGUG
rnacentral:rRNA from 1 species